rnacentral:rRNA from 1 species
GUAACUCCCAACCCCUGUGACAUACCUAUACGUUGCCUCGGCGGAUCAGCCCGCGCCCCGUAAAACGGGACGGCCCGCCCGAGGACCCCUAAACUCUGUUUUUAGUGGAACUUCUGAGUAAAACAAACAAAUAAAUCAAAACUUUCAACAACGGAUCUCUUGGUUCUGGCAUCGAUGAAGAACGCAGCAAAAUGCGAUAAGUAAUGUGAAUUGCAGAAUUCAGUGAAUCAUCGAAUCUUUGAACGCACAUUGCGCCCGCCAGUAUUCUGGCGGGCAUGCCUGUUCGAGCGUCAUUUCAACCCUCAAGCUCAGCUUGGUGUUGGGACUCGCGGUAACCCGCGUUCCCCAAAUCGAUUGGCGGUCACGUCGAGCUUCCAUAGCGUAGUAAUCAUACACCUCGUUACUGGUAAUCGUCGCGGCCACGCCGUAAAACCCCAACUUCUGAAUGUUGACCUCGGAUCAGGUAGGAAUACCCGCUGAACUUAAGCAUAUCAAAAGGCCGGGAGGA